ensembl:snRNA U5 U5 spliceosomal RNA
AUGCUCUCGUUUCUUUUCAAAUCGUAUGAAUCUUUCGCCUUUUACUAAAGAUUUCCGUGGAGAGAAACAAUUGUGAGUCUUAAAUUUUUUUGAGGCCUUGUGUUUCGCGAGGCU